UAAAACGUGUUUUGGUAUAAAUUUAAUAAUUUUUCAGGCUUAAAAAUAUUUAAAAUACACUUGAAAUUCAAAAAAAAAAAAUCAAAAAUCAAAUAUUUUACCAAAGAAAUAAUUUUUCACAUUUUUCCAAAAAAAAUUACAAAAGGCACAUUUUCAUAAACAAUCUUUUCCAAAAUAUAUUUUUAAAAACAAUUCGAAUAUUGAAUUUCCAUUUUUUUUAAGAAAAUUUUUUUUAUAAAAUAUUAUGAAUUUUUGUCACAAGCAUUAAUUUCGAAAAUAUUUUGCGCUUUCUACGAAUAAAAAAAAAAUAAAAACUAAAAGAAACAUUCCUCAAGCGUUGAAACAAACUAAGCUAGAUAUAUACUUUUCACUGCUUGCCAUUUCAUUGUUUUUCAUAAACUCCGGCAACAUUUCGGCACUGCGAAAAAUUAAACCCAAUUAAAUGUGUAUAUUUUUAAAAAUAAUAAAGUAGAUAUUAAAAAAAUAAAAGAAAAACUUAAAUGUACCUAAACAAAUUAAUUCGUGUGCUACGUAAAACUUGCGACUGUAGUGGAACCGUGAAAGCACAGACAAUUUUUUAUAUACAUAAAUACUUACAAGCAUGCAUAUACAUACCUAUAUACAUACAUAUUUGAGUAAAAUGCAAAAACAAAAAAACAAUUCCAAAUCAAAAGCAAAAAAUUAAAUGUAAAACAUUUUUGUGUCGAAAUUAUAUAUAAAAUAUAAAUACAUAAAUACAUACGAGUACAGUACAUACCAACAUAAAGACAAGUUUCAAAAAAUAUAUACAUAUACUUAUAUUAAAGUAAAUGCUAAGAAAAAUUAAUCCUUUUGAAUGUGCGUAUAUUUAGAUAAUUAUAUAAAUAAAAAUUAUUUAAAAAAACAUAUUUAAGAAAAUCAAAAAAAGACUUUGGCAUUUUUCUAAAAGUCUACACUUAUACACAAAAGAAAUAACUGACACACAAACAUAUAACACUUGUAAAAGACAUGUUAUGUAAACAUUUUCGGAAUGCUUUUUUGACUUUUGGCCAUAAAUUUUGUGCGUAUGCGUGUAAAAAUCAUUGUAUGUGCGUAUAAUAGAGAAAAAUAUUUUUUUUCACUUAUCACGUUCGUGUAAACAUAUGACAACCAUUUGACAACUGACAAUUGACCAACAAUUUUGAACAAAUAACUGUUUUAGCCAAGACUACACGACCACACCACACAUACAUACAAACACAAAUGCAUACAGUCGAACUGUGGACCUUCGCCGGCAUGUUGCCACGUCAGGCUACAUGAUCUGAACGAGAUCAAGGCCAGAAGUACAUACAUACAUACAUAUAUUUAUGUAAUUAUUGCGUAUGUAGUAAUUUUAUUAUAAUUAUAUUUCAAAUUUACCACAAACAAACCAGUGCAUACAUGCACGAAAACAUAUUUAUUAUAUAUACAAAAAUUACAUACAUACAUUAGACACUAUCUGUGAUUUAUAAUCCAAAAUUAUUGAUGCGAAAAAUGAGUAUUCAAGCAAAUUCGCAAAAGAAUUGGCAUUGAAGCUGUUGAGGAGUAUUAAGUGAAGAAAAUAAAUAUGAAGAAAAAGCGAAAGUAAAAGGAAAAGUGGAAUUGAGCAAAGAGGAGUGCUAAUAAAAAGCGAAGAAAGUCUAAACAAAAGCUUGAUGAAAACACAAACGGUUAUGGGACUAAUAUAUAUGAGACAUCACAUUAGCCACGUACAUACAUAUAUGUAUAUGAUACAUAAAUGCUGCAAGGACAUAAGUGUGAAACUGUUGCAAAGGAGGAAUUAAAAAUUGGUAAUAUUGAGAAAAUUUAGUAAGCAGAAUAAACGGCAAAUAUAUAUCUUAAUAAAAAUAACAAGUUGUUUGCAGCAAAUUACGCUCUUGAGACCACACGUAGAGCAAAAAAAAAGUAACACGUACAUGUAUACAUAUGCAUUCCUAUACAAAUGUUUGCAUGAAAAUUUUGGCGCAAUUUUUAACGUAAAGUUGAAAUUAUAGCAAAAAAAAACUUUGCUAUAAAAAAUGAUUUGCUACAAAAAUUUUGUUUAACGUUGCAAACAGGAUUUAGUUCCAACUUAAAAUUACCUUCAAAUAUUUUCUACGAAAAGCGCGCAAAAUCAAUUAUAAAACAGUAAAUUUGCACAGAAACACCAGUCGAAAAUCGCAAGCAAAAAUUAAUUAUGAAACCAAAGUCAUCAAAAUUUAUUCAAAACGUGUUUACACCAACAUACAUACAUAUGUAUAUAUUAAAAAUAUAUUUAAAACCACACAAUAAUAUAAAAACAAAAAUAUCAACAAAAAAUAAACAAAAUUAAAAGUGCAAUUACUUGGAAAAUAAAUGGUGAAAUGAUGUUCGUUAGUAAAAACAAAAAAAAAAAUAAAUAAAUAAAUAAUAAAACAAGAAAAAAAUUUGUAAAGAAAUAUAUGUAAAAAAUUUGCGUAUAGGGAAAAUUUAGCAGCAAAUGUAUAAUUAGAACUUUGAUUGAACCAAAUAUAAAAUUAAAUUAAAAAGUUAAAGUAAAUAUAAAUGAAAAUUAUAUAAAAAAUUAAUACAAAAGUUUGUAUAAAAAUGCAUUCUAAUUAGCAACAAUUUAAAAACACUUUUUUAAAAAUAUUAUUAAUAUAAUUUCACUGCUUAAUUUCAAAAAAUUAUGCGUUGCAAUGAGUUGAAACUAGGAAAAAAUAUAUACCGGACAUACAAACAUACAGCAGAAAUGCGCUCAAAGUUGCGCUAAAGCUCUGCUCAUUGAAGAGUCAACUGAGCAGAAAUAGCUUGCACAACUGAGAGCAUACUAAUGAAUACAAAUAGCGUUAGAGAGCAAUAAAAAAUUUGCGAGAACGAAGUGGUAGAGGUGAUAAGAGAGUACGAAAAUUGCUUUCGAACUUAAACAAACAAAAUUUGUUUAAGUAAAACUUAUUUUUUCAACUUCUCAAAACAAAUUUUGCAAAACUACAAGUUUUUCUUAAGUUUUCAAAACAAAUUUUGCAAAAGUAAAAGCUUUUCUCAAGUUUUCUAGCAAAUUCAUUUGCCGGAUAUGGAACUUAACUUCAAAUAUCACCUCUGCACACACUCGCGAAUUACGCCAUUGACUCUAACAACAACCGGCCGAUUUCAAAAACUUAUGGUAUACAAGUUGAAGCAACAAAAAAGAAAACACACACACACACAGACAAGUAUUGGGACAAAAAGACAAGUUAAGCUACAGUUGAUUUAAUAAUUAAGUUAAGAAAACGUCUAAAGGCGGACGUUUAGGGCUGAAUGAAUGGGAGAGCGCUUGAAGGAGCGCGCAGAGAAUGCAAAUUGUAUGUAAAAUCCCUCAGGUAUGUGUUUUAUUUUCGGAGAGAAAAAAGAUUGACUACCAUAUUUUUAAAUAUUGUAUUUUAAAAUGCUAAAUAGAAUGUUAGAUUUGUAAAGAGUUAGUAAGCAGAGAGGACGUGUGAGCAAGAUAGAGAGAGAGAAAGAGAGCGAGAGCGCGCGCGAAAGAAAAUCCUGCUAAUUGAGGAGCCGGAGUGUUGCGUGGCAGGAAUGAUCAAAUGUUGUUGGUGUGCAGCCACAAGUCGCAAAUGUCUCUAUUUUCUUUGCAAACAUCUCUUCAACACGCAGUUUUGUACAUACUUACAGACCCACAGUUAUAGAAAUUUAUAUAGUUUUUGUAAUAUACGACAUGCAUACAUACACAUACAGGAUAUGAGCAUAAUUUUACAUAUAAUUUUAUUUUUUAAACUUAAAACUUAAAUAUUUUUAACUAAAUAAUUGUGUUAGUAAUUCAAAAGUUAGUUGGCUUAGAACUUUUGCUACGUACAUACAUACAUAUUGCGCGUGGAAUGGUUUAGUAGUAUUUUGGGUGAUUUGUACUGAGCGGGGAGCAUUUUUCUACUACUUAUUAUCAAUUUUCAAGACCUAACACCCUAAUAAAUUGUGCUGUGUUCGAGCAUUUGCUAUGAUGCCUACCCGUUCUGGCGCAACAACAACACGAAAUAAUCUAAUGUUUACUGUUAAUAUAGUAUAUACUUACAAACCGUUUAUAAUUUUUUUUUUGCAGUGUAGAGAGGGUUAGAAGUGGAGCAGGCAGAGAUGGCGAAGCAAUGGGCUGCUUAUAUGUAUAUAUAGACAAAAUUGAAUUUAUAGUGCAAUUGUUUUUUAAAAAACGAAUUAAAGUAGUGAAAAUCUUUAAGCGUGUGAGCACGUUCUUAAUUUCAAGUAGAAACAUUAUGGCAAUGUUUUUGUUUAAUAUAUUAUUUUUCUCUAAUUAUCUUAUUAACGCUUUUUUAUGUGUAAAUGUUUUAAAACAUGAAAGAAAAGGACUCAAAGGACUUUUUUGUAUUUUUUAUCAAAGUGAAAUGUUGCUAUAAUUUUUAAAAUUUACAAUUUAUGUUGUUGACAUUUACCAGCAACAAUAUUGCAUACGUUAAGCGAAAUUGAAAUCAAAAAAAUUCGCAUUGCGCGUUAAGUCUUUUGGACUGUGAAUGGCGAAUGGCAGAAUGUAUAUUUAUAUUUACUAUAUUUAUAAUUACAAAAAAAAAAUAAAAAUAAAAAAACACUUUUUAUAUAUACUUUACACAUAAUAAACGAAAAAUCCAAAUAAAAUUAAUAUUAAUCAUUCUAUUUUACAAAUAAAGCUAUUGUAUUUAGAUAUCUAUUAUAUUUGCUAUAUUGUUUGAAUGAAACGAGUUAAAAUUGUAAGCGCAUUUAAUGCAAUGCAAAGUAAACUGUAAUAUUAAAAGUGAAAAUGUUGCAAUGACCUCGUGUACCAAAUGUAAUUACGAUCUGAUUUGUUUAGUUGUUUUUUGUAAACACUAUUUAUUAAUUUUAUAUAAUAACCUAUGUUUACCAAUUAAGCGUAUGGUAAGCUCUUUAGUUGCGGUUAAGCUAAAGAAAACUAUAUAGAAAGGACGAAAAAAGAAAGCGUCAAUAGAGUAGGUGAUUACGAAAAAAAUAAUAAUUUGUGAAAUCUGCUACAUGCCACAAUUAAAAAAAAUAUUUUGUGAACAUAUUCAGCAAAACCACACCCUUUCAAAAUUAAAUCUAUCCAAAUGAGAAGGAGGAUUUUUCUGUUUUCGCAAUUAUUUCGAAAAUAUUUUUUCGUACCUCAUUUUAGCAUAAAAAGUUUUCCAUAUAAACAUAAAUACAACAAUAAAAAUUUUUUUAAACGCAAUUUAACAAAAAUUUUAUUUUUAAUACCCUCUGUGAAACUAAAACACAUACCAAGAUGAGAAGAUUACCAGAUUUACCAAGUAAAACCGUCAAAUAAACAAAACAAAGCUUAAAAUUGUGUAAUAAGGCACAUUGCAACAACAUACAUAAAUACAACUAACCCAAUUAAUUACAGCAUACAGCAAAGACAUUAAAAAAAAUAAGCAAACAGCAAAACAUAAACCAACAAUAGUAAAAACAGCUUAUUUUCCAAACAAAACAAAUCAUAUAAGUGAAAAAGAGCAAUAGCCCAAAUAUAUAUAGCAAUGCUUUGUGUAUUGUAUAUAUAUCCAUCUACACAGUAUAUAUGUACAUUGUAUUAUAUGCAGGCAUAUAUAAAUAUAUUGGAAAAAUCGCAAAAUAGCCGAAAAACUAUUGGUUAUUUACAGAAAUAAGCAACAAAACAAAACCCACAAUAGUAAUCUUCCCUCUCCACACGCACAAAAACAUAUAACAACAACACUGAAUAUGUUAUAUAAGAAAUAAUUGAUUGCAAAUCAAAGAAAUUAAUAUAAAUACAGCCGACAGUCGAUUGUUUUUAUUUUUAAAUAUUGUAUUGAAAUAGUCGAAAAAAACCAAAAUAUGCAGUGUAAGUCAAUAAUAUUGACUACAGUAAUAAUAAAAAAACCAACAAUAGCAGUAAAAGGGAUUGGCAAUAACCAUAAAUAUUGUAAAUUUUUUAAACAAGAUAGUAUUAAAAUGUGUUGAUGGUAUUAAAAUGCGAUUGUAGUAGCAAAUGGCAGGAGUGAUAAAGUAGUAUGCAUGCAGAUGCGUGCACGGUUGGCAAAGCAGUGCAAGCAGUUGGUCAUUACUUACCGGAUAUACGUGUACGUAGCAGCGACCACAGACGGAUAUCUCGCGCAUGAACACGUUUUUGUUGUUGACAUUUCGAAUUCAAAUAAUUUUACAAACUUUUCAUUUAAAAUAUAUAUUUUUAAUUCUAUUCGACUUUUGAUUUUUUAAUCGUCAGCACUUUUCAAACUUUUGAGUAGCCUAAAUUUAUUAAAUUAUAUUUUCUGUACACGGCCUUUAUCAUAUUUUUUGCCAUAUAGUUACUUUUUUUUAUUUCUUCACUUACAUUUUUUAAUUUUCUUUUUUUUAACUUUGCUUUAUUACCACUUUUUAUUCUUAUUUUGCAUAUCAAAUAAUUACGACAGCAUACUUUAUUACUUUACGCAUAUGCAAUCAUUGACCGAAACUUUACUUUGCAUAUUUUGCCAAGACACGAAUUGACCAAAACGAACACGUCACUUUAUAUUUGUAUCACUUUUUAAUUAUGUCUGAUUACUUCACGGCAACGUGACGAUUUUCCGAAGCUAACACCGCGCUUUGAAUUUUUAUAACUUUUUUUUUUAAAACCGCGAAAACACCGACUAACCGAAACUUACGCUUUAAUCUGUUGUACCAUUUUUUAUUUAAUUAUGAUUUUCCCGAACUGACACUUUACUUUUAAAUUUUUACAAAUUUUCCAAAAAUCGCGAUCGGUUAUUUUAAGUAAACACACCGAUAAAUCGGAACUGCCUUCGAAGGAAACUGCUUUGACUUUGUAUGAAUUACAGAGUAAAAAAGAAUACUGUUAAUACAGUUCGUUUUGAUGUACCGAAUAUAAGCACAAACAGAAUUGACAGGAGUAACGCCAUUUUGAGCAUCACCUAAUAAGAUUUUUGAUUUCAGUGAAAUUCUACAGAAAUUAUUGUAUUAAUGUACCAAAAAUGUGACACAUAGCAUAAUGGUACCGAUGUGCAAGCAAAAAAAUAUGACUGCAAGCAAAAACAACAAAUAUCACACAAACCAGCCGCUACCACAAUGCGCUGCUUAUAAGCUGAUGGCAAACACUUAUAAUCUUUGCACUUCAACAUAUUUUGAGCACACAUGUAUUUUGCUAAUCUCGGCAUUGUAUUGCACAACUUUUGCCAUUUUCUCAACGAAUUUACUAUUAAUUUAACUAUUUUUUCCACACUAAACACAAACGAAACGCGAACACGAACCGAACUUAAUGAUAACUGCUACCGAUUUGUUUGCCAAGUUGCCAUCUUAGUCAAGUGCAGCCAUUACCGUACGCGGUAGUUAAUGCAGUGCAAACGAUGUUAGGCAGCGACUUCCUUAAGGCCGUUUAACGUAAACUGCAAAAAUUAAAUUAAAAUGGAAUUAAUCAUUAAUUUGCAAUUAAAUAGAUAAAUUUUUGCUUAGCAGCAAGCAAUCGCAUUUUAAGCUAUCAUUAGCAUUUUACUAACUUGUAAAACAUUAAACUACGCGUACAAUAAACGUAUGUGUAGAUUUGUCCACAAAAUACCCAACAAUACUUACAAUAGAUAUUUGCUUACCAUAGUUAUACAAUAGUCAACCAAACAGCAGAAAAUACAACUAAUUAACGCAUAAAAUAACGAAAUGAAAUAAAUGAAACAAUAUAAUUAAUAGAUCAGUCUUUAAAUGUUCACAACAACAACAACAACAUUAAAAACCAACAGCAAUAGCCCGAAAUACCAGCCUACAAUAGCCCAGUAAUUAAAGCAGUUUCAAAUAAGCCAGAAAUAAUUGAAAACAAGAAAAACCAAGAACAGCCACAACAAUUACUUACAAACUACAACAACAAUAUCAAUAAUAUGCCGUAAACAUAAUAAUGAAUAGCAACUUGUACUUAACACUUAAAAUACAAUAUUUUAUUAAGACCUACAUUUAAACGUAAAAAGCGCGCCAAAACGUGCGCGCAAUGCAUAAACACAUAUGUAUAAACGAAAUAAAAUAACAUAUGUAUGUAUGUGUUUUAUAUUCUCAUCGAGUUGUCGACUGUUUUUAUUUUAUUUUGCGUCAAUUGCAACCGACAAGUUGCAUAUUUCGUUUAAAAUAAUAAAAUUAGUACUUUUCACUUUCCAUUUAACUGUUUUAAUCGUUAUGUUAAAUUGCUUACAAACUCGUACAUAUAUUUUUGAUGACUACUCCAUAAUUAACUAGUGUAGUAAUGUUCAUUUUUGUUAUGUUUGUUACAAUGCGCUUGCGCAAUUUGUUUCCUUACACCUAUGUUUAUGUUGAAAGCUGUAACUAUCAUUAUUAUGAAAUAAUAUUUGUGAAAUUACUCAAUGUGAAACUGUAUUAUUUUUCACCUAACUAUGAACUUACAGUAAAGUAAUUGAAAUGUAUUCGAAAUAAAAACUAAAUAUCACAUACAAAUUACAAUAGUAUCUAACAAUUUUAAUGCAUAAACAAUACAAUAGUUUUCAAAUAAAUCUCACAAUUACAAUUACAAUUACAACUACAAUAGCAAUAGCAAUAGUAAUAAGGCUCCAACCACAAACAAUAAACCAUAAAUCAACCAACGACAACAGCCAUGCGACAGAAAAAAUAGUCGAAAUUCCAAGAAGUCAAUAGAAAAUCACAAAAUUUAAUACUUUUUUUACAAUUUGAAGUGAUUAUUUUUUUAUUUUGUUUGUUAUUAUUUAAUUAUUUAAAAAUUACGAAAUUUAAUUUUUUUGUCAAAAAUUAUUACAGUUUGUGCCACAAUUACAUAAAAAAAUCAUAUCUAAUUAUUAUUCUAAUAUAAAAAUAACGAAAUUAAUUUUUUUUUUUAACAAAAAACAAAUUUCAUAUUUAAUUAUUACCCUAAAACCAAAUUAGUUGGUUUUUAUUUAAAAAUAUUUUGAAUUCUAAAACAAUAUAUGUAUAUUUUGCACUUCCAUAAAUAAUAAAUUUAAUUGCACAGCAUUAUUGCUUAAAUUUUCAAUUUAUUUUUAUGCGAUUUUUGAGUUUAAAACAAUUUAAUAUUUUCAUGAAGUUAUUCCACACAUUUUAUACACAAGCAAUUGUUACAAAAUUCUUAAAAAUAGCUAAUAAAAUAUAACAUUUUAUUAUUGUAAUUAAUAAAUUAUUACUUUGCAUAAAUUUUUUUACUCACGAGUGUUGGUAAUUUUAUUGUUUAUAAAGUUGUUAUAAAUAAAAUAUGCUGAAAGUUGUAUUUCAACGCAAACUACACAACACUAACGCAAGUACAAUAUUUAAAAUUCACUUUGGGUGGCAAAACUGGACAUUACAAAUACACAACAAUGCAGAAUUUUCACAUAGAAUGUACAAAAACAAAACUUGAAAAUGAACUACGCCUAAAUAGUCACUAAAAAUUCAUGACGUGAAACUUUCUUAUUUAUUUUGUGCAUAUAUAGAAUAUAUAUUUUGAACACUUUAUUAAAAUAUGAAAAAAUACGUUGAAUUUACGGCAACACAAUUGGAAAAAUUCAGUUAACUCGCAGUUUCAAUAACUCGGCCGCUAACGGCACACACAAAAUGACAGCAGCAUUCCAUUAUGCAGGGUUUACACUUUGUUAUGUGAAACUUUAAAUGUUUAUGUGGUGAAAAUUUUAUUUUAACCUCUUAAUAAAUUUAAUAUUUUUAAAAUAAAUAUUAAAAUUAUUUAAAAUGGAAAUUAAUAUUUUUAAAAUAAAAUUUAAAAUUAUUAUAAGAAAUCUAAUAUUAUUUGCCGUGAAUGAAACAAAGAAAAUAAUUGUCUGCAAAAGCAAACUAAAAAAUUUUAAUUAAACGGGUUCACAUAUUUUCGAAGUGUCGUUUUCCCUUUCGUUCUCUUUAUAAACAACACAACACAUAAUAUAUGAAAUGUCAAUGUAAAAAUAAUGUAAAAUUAAAAAAUAUAUAUAUUGUGCAUUUAAAUUUAAGUUUAUUUAAAGUAAAAAAUCGUAUUGGUAAUCGAAUUAGUAGCGUUCUAUUUUUAAUUAAUGCCUAGUUUAAUUCUUUUUUCAAGUGUUGCAACAAAAAUAAAAAUCUAAAAAAAAGUGAAACAAAAAUUCAAUUUAGAAAUAGUAGCAACAAAAAUAUCAAACUUUAAAUGCGUAAAGCAAAAAUUAAAAUUAAUAGUAAAACAAUUAUAUAUGUAAAAUAAAGUUAUAUUUACAAAAAAUAAACAAAAAAACGUUCAGUUUGAAAAUGAUUGCUAGGGAGACAGCAAGCGAGCAGAAUCACUUUUAUAAACGAUAUAACUUGUUUAGAUUGCCUUAGAUUUUUACGUGUCUAAUUACAUGCAUAGUUUACAUAUAUAAAUAGCGCUAUGUGGAUGUUUGUUUUUACAUAUAUACAUACAUAUAUACAUAUAUAUAAAUAUUUACUAUUUUUAUAAUUAAUAUAUAAUGUAAUUUUAUGGUUUUAAUAUGAUUGAUUUGUUUACACAACUAUCUUUUUCGUUAUUUUAUAUUUACAUAUGUAUAACGUACGUACAUAUAUGCUUAAAUACAAAAACAAUAUAUAUAUACAUAUAUAUACUACAUACAUAAAUACGUAUACAUAUGCUACAUUGAUACUUUAUACUUUUAAUUGUUUAAAUAUACAAAUACCAAUAUAUAAUACAAAUACACAGACACAUGGAUACAUAUUAUUUUAAUAAAUAAAAAUUUUAGUUAAAACAGAGGAAAAAACAAAAUAAACAACAAUUUGUGUACUACUCAUUUUUUCAACUUAUAAAUAGCUACGAGGUAAUGUGUUUAUUGCUUUUUUUUUGUAAUUUAUUUUCUCAAAUACACUUUAACUCUUUUAAAAUGCUUUUAUUUUGCACACAAAUGUAAUAAAAAGCAAGAUUUCGGCUGCAGAAUAGUAAUGGAAUAUUGUAAGGAAUAAAGCACACACACACAUGCAAAUAAGCAGAAAAUAUGCGAAAAAAACAAAAUCACAACAAGCAAUAACCAAUUACAAUUAUAGCAAUUAAAAAAAUUACAAUAAAUAAGUAUUUCAAAUACAAUGCAAUAGACCAAAGUGAAUACUGGUCGUGUGGGGUUAAGCAUGGUGAGAAUUAAAAGUGUGGUGAAGAGAGUAAGAGAGUUUACUAACAUUAAGCUAUUUGAAAUAACGGUCUAAAAUACUUUGUAUGCGAAGUAACCGGUACGGAAAGUAAUCGGUAUGUAAAGUAAUCGGUAUGCAAAGUUAGCGGUAUGCAAAGUAACCGGUACGAAAAGUAUUCGGUAUGCAAAGUAAUCGGUAUGUAAAGUAAUCGGUAUACGAAGUUAGCGGUAUGCAAAGUAACUGGUAUGCAAAGCAAUCUGUAUGCAAAGUAAUCGGUACGCAAAUUAAUCGGUAUACAAAUAACCGGAUCACAAAGUAAUCGGUACGCAAAACAACCGGCAAAGUAAUUGGUACUGAGGCAAAGACAAACGACUUGAAGGUUACAGUUUUGAGAAAGCAAAUUACUAUAACCACAGUAAUUCUCAAACCGAGUUAAUAGUUGGUCGUAACAACUACGAGAGUAAGACACAUUUUUAAAGACCCGCCAUGCGACAGAUCCCAACAUUACCAUUGUUUGCUCCAUUUUCACAUUGAACUAUUGGCAAAAAUACAAACUAAUAAUAAUUACAAAGCAAUAGUAACGGUUAAAAGUCAGAACAACUAUUUCGGUGAACGAUUAAAGCGAACUGCAAGAAGUAUUUAUGUUUUUUUUUUUUUUUUAAUUUUCCAAGUUUGAGCAACGCUUACCUUUUACUGGUGAUUUCUUUAGAAAAAUGUCAGAUUCUGUAUUUUUUAUUGUUUUCGAAUGUUAGACUAAGCACACAGUUAGCCAUUUGGAUAGAUUGUGCCGCAAAAUUUGUGCGCCAGAAACCCACUUACAAAAUGCGAUACAAUUUUAUAGAUCAGUGAGUAACCGGUAUUCAAUGCUGACUGCGCAACAGCCAUCACUAACAAUAAGUAGAGGAAAUUCUUAUCUAAACAACAACAACAACUUCAGGGAUCAAAAUUUCAAAUAUUUUGAUUUAUUUAGACCGAAACAACAAGCUUAAGAAGUAAACUAAAACAACAACAACAAAAACUAAAAAUAAAUUAAAGUAAAAAAUAUAUAUAUACUGAAAACUAGAGAGACACUUGACCAUAUCCGAAAUUUUUUUUACAAAAUGUGCGAAAAUCCAAAAAAAAACGGUAAAUAAAAA